rnacentral:rRNA from 1 species
UACGUAGGGACCAAGCGUUGUUCGGAUUUACUGGGCGUAAAGGGCGCGUAGGCGGCAAUUCAAGUCAUCUGUGAAAUCUCCGGGCUUAACUCGGAGUGGUCAGGUGAUACUGCUUUGCUAGAGUGCAGAAGGGGCAAUCGGAAUUCUUGGUGUAGCGGUGAAAUGCGUAGAUAUCAAGAGGAACACCUGAGGUGAAGACGGGUUGCUGGGCUGACACUGACGCUGAGGCGCGAAAGCUAGGGGAGCAAACGGG